CAGCCGCCGCGGUAAAACGUAGGGUGCGAGCGUUAAUCGGAAUUACUGGGCGUAAAGCGUGCGCAGGCGGUUCGUUAAGACAGAUGUGAAAUCCCCGGGCUUAACCUGGGAACUGCAUUUGUGACUGGCGAGCUAGAGUAUGGCAGAGGGGGGUAGAAUUCCACGUGUAGCAGUGAAAUGCGUAGAGAUGUGGAGGAAUACCGAUGGCGAAGGCAGCCCCCUGGGCCAAUACUGACGCUCAUGCACGAAAGCGUGGGGAGCAAACAGGAUUAGAUACCCGAGUAGUCCCUGUCUCUUAUAC
rnacentral:rRNA from 1 species